AUUAGCAUGUCCGCUUCCUACCUUAACUGAAUAAUCUGGUUCUAGCUUUUCAUAUUCACGAGCUUCAGCAGAUAUAACCCUCGUAGCUCUCUUCACUUGAGCAUAGUUGGUUUUAAACAUAGUGAAAUCUGCAGAUUCUUCAUCUUUCAGAGAUUCAGCUUUCUGCUGCUGUGUAUAACAGAGGGAGCAAUCAAGUUCCAUAAGCCUAAGUGCAACAGCAGAUGUUGUGUGAGGAACCCAAGGUAACACCGCCACCAUCCCAUCAAGAUUCGAGUUGCUAACAGCACCCAACAACUCAUUUGUAGUUUCAUAAUUUGAUAUCAAAUAUUCCCUCUUGAUGGCACCUUCCAAUAAUGUCAGAAUCUGAAGGAGGUCGCCAGCUGCUGAAGCAAUAUGCAACUUUGUACCCCAAGAUCUUCGAUAUAAUUCUGACCAAACAGGCUGAAGAGCCUCA
rnacentral:misc_RNA from 1 species